UACGUAGGGUCCAAGCGUUAUCCGGAAUCACUGGGCGUAAAGCGUGCGUAGGCGGUUUGUUAAGUGAGAUGUGAAAUCGUGUGGCUCAACCAUAUCGUUGUGUCUCAUACUGGCAAACUAGAGGAUAGCAAAGGCAAGUGGAAUUACGAGUGUAGCAGUGAAAUGCGUAGAGAUUCGUAGGAACACCAAUGGCGAAGGCAGCUUGCUGGGCUAUUUCUGACGCUCAGGCACGAAAGCGUGGGGAGCGAACAGG
rnacentral:rRNA from 1 species